GAGUAGUUCGAGUUCAGUGGUAUGUACAACUAAUUGAUCAUAAUCCGUAACAGAUUUACUUGUUCCUUCUCCACUGCCACAGCUUCAUUGGGCUAGCCAUGA
ensembl:misc_RNA Y_RNA Y RNA